rnacentral:lncRNA from 1 species
ACCCAAGAAAGCUGUUGCGACAUGUGCCAGUGAAUUUGCCUCACAAUGCAAGUCAGCCCAGACAGGAAGGCUGCAGCCGGGGCCCCGCCAACCGGAGCAGGCUGCAGCACGCUCCGCGGCCAGGGAGAGCACAUGGGACCACACUGCACAAUGCGGCUCCAUCUGCGGAUGCGUCCCGAUCCCCCCACCCCACCUUUCCAGCCCAGCCCACCCCUCCUCAGGCACUCUUCCAUUGGAUCCUCCUCGCAAGCAGCUGGAUCAAUUUACUCUAGCCUACGGUGCACACUCUACAAGCACGGACUGAAUUAUUACUCAUGGAAAUCCCCUCUGUUUUCAGUCUUUGAACAAGGGAAUCAGGUCAUCAAAAGACAGCAGCGCCCCGAGAUGAAGCAAAAACUAUCCCUGACAAGUAAUUCAAGGCUGAGUGUCCAUGAGUCUUCUGGAAAAGACAAUAUUUGUGUUUCCUCUAUGAAACGGCUUUAGUCUGCCAUGUUUAGAGAGGGCCAUUGAUGGACACUCUUGGGCUAGGUUCAGCCUUCACGCUGGUGGAGGGAUCCUGGGUUUCUGUUUUUCUCUUUGUGUCCCCAACGAGACCACCUAAACCACUCAGUAGCUGGAAUAAUUCGACCCUGUCAUCCGUUGCCAAGGCAGCAAAAAUUUACCCUUAACCUCAAGUUGGGUUUUAAAGAAGUGACUGCAAACAUGUUUGCAAGGCGGAGGUUGGGUAUUAAAUAAUCUCGGGCAUCCACAGGGUCCUGAUUUAUACUGACUGAUAUUACUGACUCAGUUCCUCUGCCUCUCCUUUUUUUUCCCCUGAUUUUCUGCAAGUGUAGUGCUUUGCAGUUAAUAAAUGUUUGUUGAAUUGAACAGAAUCGAACUGAAUUUGGACCUUAGAAAAAUUUCCACUCACUGGGCAUCAAUCCCUAAGCAAUAUGAAACAUUUGGCAAGCAUAAGAUCCUGAAUAUUCCCUGUAACCAAGUAGUCAUAAUAAAAGCAAAUCCCUAUUAAAAAAAAAAAAAAAAAGAAGAAGAAAAAGAAAAGGAGGAUCAAGAUGCAACUCAGAACUCUAAAGAAAGCUGGAAUAGAAACCAAUGAAAAAAUCUUAGUAUAUUCAUGGCAAUUCACUGAAAGCAACCAUUUAUGAAGGGUGUGCUAUACCUGCUUGGUGACACUGGGCAAGUCACUUCACUCUGCCUCAGUUUCCUCAUCAAUAAACUGAAGAAGGAAAUAGCAAACCAGUCUAAUAUCUUUGCCAACAAAACCCUAAACAGGGAAUGAAAUAAUACGGAGAAUAACAUCAGCAUAUGCAAAGCAUCAUUGCCACAAGUGCUAGGGUCACAAAGAAAAAAAAAAAAAGCAGCCCCUGACCCCAAGGAAUUGACUUGUUUGGCUUACUGAGGCACAGUACCAUUAAUAAUCAUCAUCUGGCAAAAAUUAGUGUAGCCCACUAAUAAAUUACUUUUCUGUCCCCUUAAAUAUGGAAUGCCAUUCAUAAAUAUAUG